CUGUUUUAUCUAAAUAUUUGUGAAGAUUCCGUUAUACUAUCUGAUUAAAAAAAUAUAGAAUACAUGGAGAAAAAAAAUUAAAUUUGAAUAUGCAAUGAUUAAAUACUAUACUAAUAGUAAAUAAUGAUAUAGAUAAAAAUAUGUAUAAAAAAAUAUAAAAUUAAUAAAUAACCAUGGAUAACACAAAUAUAUAACCAUAUAUUUUGUCGGUACC
rnacentral:lncRNA from 1 species